UCUCUUCCCAAUAAGUAACGAUUUUUUUUAUGCUAAACCAUAAUCCUCUCUCUCAAGUUCCUCAUUCCUCCACUCUCUUCCAUCUCUCACGUUUCAUCUUCUGCUUUUUUUUUCCACUUCCACCCUUCUUUUUCUUCUUCUUGCAUAUAGUAGGUUCUAUCACUGAUAGUCCAGGUGGUUAAGGGCGGAAUAUUGCAGAUGAACUCGAUCUACGGAAGUCAAAGAAGUAGGCAGCGGAGGUGGUGGCUGUUUUGUUGAUGGAUCUGAAGGUACUAUUGUUGAUUUCACUGAAGAGGAACUUAGGUUUUCAUAUGGGUUAUUUUCUCUGUUACUUUCUCAGAUCUACACACCGAAUAUGGUAUCAAAUUCCUUAACAAUUUCCUCUCCGGAAAAACCUUUAUCUCUGGGGAUCAAUUAACAAAGCCUGAUAUUAAGGUUUAUGGAGCUGUUACUGAGAAAAUUGAUUAUUUGAAAUAACUCGUCUAGAUUCGGCCAAUGCCGCUGUCGAUUGUGUUUCCACCAUCACAUAAACCUCCAUCGUCACAACUCAUCAAAUACAAGCAUAACAAAUAUGCCAUUUCUUCCACCAUGAAAAUACUGCUACAUUUCUAUAAUUACUCAGCUCAUCGAUUACGUGAUUCCUAUAUUAUUUUCUGUUUUACUCUUAAUACUUUAUGGUUUUUUGUUGUUUAACACUGUUUAACCUUCAAUUAUUGUUGAUGUUGUUUUUUCAAUAUGGUUUUGAUUUGUUUGGAAAAGUAUAUGAUGAAGUAAAUUGAUGAGGUUGAGUGCUUAUUGUUUUGUCAUGUUAUUUGGUUAUUUUGUUUUGCAGAGUCACGACAAGUCGGUUUUUGGACUAGAGCAUGGCUAAAAAUUGGAGUAGGUUCAUUGGCACGAUAGGAAUUAAUUGGAUGCGGCUCAACUGCAGUAGCGAUCGAAGAGUUGAAGGUCUCGAUUGAAAGCUCAAGCUCCACAGAAAACUGGAAGCGAAUGUAACAACAAGAAAAAUGCAACUUUACAAUAGACAAUGAUUGACAUACUGGUGCCACGAUGGCAGCGACAUUGGUUUUGUUUUGGUUUAUAAAUUGAUGAAAUUGAUUUUAUAGAAGGUAGUUGAAUUAUAAUUUAGAGAGGGAAAGAAAAGCGGUGUGAUCCUAUCUCUAUUCAGUAGGAUAUAAUCAGUUUUAUUGAGGCUAUGUUUGAAUAAGCAACUUAUAUAUAAGGGCUUAUAGAUAAGCAGCUUUAAUAAGUUAUCUUGGCGAGCUGAGAAGUGAAUACAAUUUAUAAACAUG